rnacentral:lncRNA from 1 species
GUAUUGGCAAGGUUGAAUUUUGGUAGUGGUUGAGAGGUUCUGGUUGUUGAAGGAGGGGUUUCAGAUGUGGUGUAGAGGGGUAUAGGUAGAGGAAAAGACGAAGCAACUUGCUGUAUAGAGGGAACAGGAGAGGCAGACUUACCAGAAGACUCUUGCAGAGGUGCUGGAGGUCUUGAUUCAGAGGAUUCCCCUAGCUUUG